UAUUUUUCUCCAUUGCUGUCUUUCACUCUCCUUUCAGGAUACCAGUGACACGAAUGUCAGACCUUUUGAUAUCCCAAAGGUUCUUAUGGCUCUCUGUUCACUAUUUUUCUCUUUGUUGUUCAGACUAGAUCAUUUCUACCAGUCUAUCUUCAAGUUCACUGACUUUCCUAUGUCAUCUCCAUUUUGCUUAUUAAGCCCAUCCAGUGAUUAAUUUCAGUUACAGUAUUUUUCAGUUCUAAAUUAUUAUUUGAGGCCUCACUAUAUUACCCAUGCUGGCCUUGAACUCCUGGGCCCAAGCGAUCCUCCUGCCUUGGCCUCCCAAAGUGCUGNNNNNNNNNNNNNNNNNNNNAGGGCCUGAUUAUGGGUGGUAAUGAGUGAAUGUGAGGUGCAAGAUGCUCUAACUGUUGAAUGUUCCUAAAAGAAACAGAAUCUGGCAGUAUUAUGAGUCCAGGAAGACAGGAGAGAGACUAAGGUGUUGUAGAAAUCUAGGAAUGAGACAAAAAUCUGGACAAAGUUACUGGCAGUGAAAGUAGACAGAAAAGGUACACUGGAGGGACAUCUUGAAA
rnacentral:lncRNA from 1 species